AGGAGGCAAGGUUGCCGGGUGCUU
rnacentral:misc_RNA from 1 species